rnacentral:pre_miRNA from 1 species
ACCACUGAGCCACCUUCCCAGCCCCAGAAGUUGGUAUUUUAAAUGUGUUUCAGGGCUGGGAAGGUGGCUCAGUGGU